AGGUGCGAUCAUACUAGCAAUAAUAAAUCGGAUCCCAUCAGAACUCUGCAGUGAAGCAUGCUUGGGUGAGAGUAGUACUAGGAUGAGUGACAUCCUGGAAAGUCCUCGUGUUGCACCUC
rfam:Lupinus angustifolius cultivar Tanjil chromosome LG15, whole genome shotgun sequence.